UUUUUGCAGUAAACGGGAAAAUGCCUCAUCCAGCGAUUGACUCGAGUUAUUUUUUCCACAAUAUCUUUGACAGUGAAGAGUUCUUUUUUCCAAUAAAUACCAGUGAUCAAGGCCAAAG